rnacentral:rRNA from 1 species
UGGGGAAUAUUGGACAAUGGGCGAAAGCCUGAUCCAGCCAUGCCGCGUGUGUGAAGAAGGUCUUCGGAUUGUAAAGCACUUUAAGUUGGGAGGAAGGGCAUUAACCUAAUACGUUAGUGUUUUGACGUUACCGACAGAAUAAGCACCGGCUAACUCUGUGCCAGCAGCCGCGGUAAUACAGAGGGUGCAAGCGUUAAUCGGAAUUACUGGGCGUAAAGCGCGCGUAGGUGGUUUGUUAAGUUGGAUGUGAAAUCCCCGGGCUCAACCUGGGAACUGCAUUCAAAACUGACUGACUAGAGUAUGGUAGAGGGUGGUGGAAUUUCCUGUGUAGCGGUGAAAUGCGUAGAUAUAGGAAGGAACACCAGUGGCGAAGGCGACCACCUGGACUAAUACUGACACUGAGGUGCGAAAGCGUGGGGUGCAAACA